rfam:Isoptericola dokdonensis DS-3, complete genome.
UCCGGUCCUCGGUAGUGGCCUCCCGAUCCGCCCGGCUCGCGCCGGGACACGGCUCCGGGGGCCUCGAUCGAAGACCGUC